rnacentral:rRNA from 1 species
AACGAACGCUGGCGGCAUGCCUAACACAUGCAAGUCGAACGAAGCCUUCGGGCUUAGUGGCGCACGGGUGCGUAACACGUGGGAAUCUGCCCUUUGGUUCGGAAUAACAGUUGGAAACGACUGCUAAUACCGGAUGAUGACGAAAGUCCAAAGAUUUAUCGCCAGAGGAUGAGCCCGCGUAGGAUUAGCUAGUUGGUGUGGUAAAGGCGCACCAAGGCGACGAUCCUUAGCUGGUCUGAGAGGAUGAUCAGCCACACUGGGACUGAGACACGGCCCAGACUCCUACGGGAGGCAGUAGUGGGGAAUAUUGGACAAUGGCCGAAAGCCUGAUCCAGCAAUGCCGCGUGAGUGAUGAAGGCCCUAGGGUUGUAAAGCUCUUUUACCCGGGAUGAUAAUGACAGUACCGGGAGAAUAAGCCCCGGCUAACUCCGUGCCAGCCGCCGCCGUAA